GAGAGAACACUACAAACUAAAGCCUUCUAUCUGCAGAGCGGGUGUCGCGUGGGCAGCCGCUGAAGCCACAGAAGCAGCAUCCGAUUUCCCACAAUGCCCUGCUAAUGUGCUUCAUCUCUGCCCUGGGAGGCCCACUUUUCAGGAUGAGAGGAUAAUUCACUCACUAUAGACUAUUCAAUCUUCAGCCUCU
rnacentral:sRNA from 1 species